rnacentral:piRNA from 1 species
UGUGAGAUUCGGUGGCCAUCCCUCAACGUC